UGCGGCGGCUAGAGCCGCGGGGACCCACCUCUACCCAUACCGAACAGAGAAGUUAAGCCCGCGCGCGCCGAUGGUACUGCCCCACCAGGUGGGAGAGUAGGUCGCUGCCGCUU
rnacentral:rRNA from 1 species